rnacentral:rRNA from 1 species
GAUGAACGCUGGCGGCGUGCCUAAUACAUGCAAGUCGAACGCAUUGAGAGAAGUGCUUGCACUUUUCAAUUUGAGUGGCGAACGGGUGAGUAACACGUGGGCAACCUACCUGAUAGCGGGGGAUAACGAGUGGAAACAUUCGCUAAUACCGCAUAACAAUAGAGAAGGCAUCUUCUUUAUUUAAAAGGCGCUUUCAAGCGUCACUAUCAGAUGGGCCCGCGGUGCAUUAGUUAGUUGGUGGGGUGAAGGCCUACCAAGACGAUGAUGCAUAGCCGGCUUGCGAGACUGAUCGGCCACAUUGGGACUGAGACACGGCCCAAACUCCUACGGGAGGCUGCAGUAGGGAAUCUUCCACAAUGGACGAAAGUCUGAUGGAGCAACGCCGCGUGUGUGAUGAAGGCUUUCGGGUCGUAAAGUACUGUUGUAUGGGAAGAAAUGCUAGGCUAGGAAAUGAGCUUAGUUUGACGGUACCAUACCAGAAAGGGACGGCUAAAUACGUGCCAGCCGCCGCCGUAA